UAUGGGUGAAUAUCUUUGGACCUUCCCUGUACUUGGUAAGUUGUUGGUCCAUAGGGAUUCAGAACGCAUUGAUUAAACAUAACCUGCUUAGUUCUAGGAAUUGCUACGCAUUUAGCAAAGAGUGGCCCAAGUAUUUAUGGGCCAUGAUCCAGGGCCACAUGAAAUCAGUCUUAGGUUAUCUUCCUUUUUUUUUUUCUUUUAUCCCCACGCUGCCCCUUCUUUUCAAAGGUAGAUUGGUCUUUAACUCUUUGGUGCUGCUCAGCAAACUGAAUGGUUUCCUAAAGAUAAUGAGAGCUUAAGAAAGGGAGGAUGUGUGAGUCAAAGAUUUAUAACAACAAUACUACCUGCAUGACAUGAGUAGGAGUUUACCAUAUAAGAACCUUACCUCUAUAAGGCUUUUAUUACAGAAAUCUCUUUUGAUUUUUUUCCUUUAUAUAACAUGCAUUGCCUGUGUCCUGCUUUCACGAGAAGUAUACAAUCAGGAAUAGAAGGUGAUUGCUGUGAGAUUCAUGGCAUGCUACUGCAUUUUCUUCUAAAUUAAUUUAAUCAUUAUUUUUAAUAAGAAAUAACUUAUAGUGGAUGCUGGAAUCAUCGAAAGCAAGAAAAGACUUCAAAUAACCUUUAGCAACUUGUUGUCAGUUAUAUUAUUUUUCUUCUCCUUCGGUGAAUUUUUUAUAUUUUGUUUCUUUUUUGGUGAGAGGUGAGUAAUUGUGUAUUCGUAUUGAUGUCUGAAAUGAAGCCUGGUUGGAAAGCCGAGGAGUUGUUAUUGUCCAGCACCCGCUGCAAUGAAUUUGAAAGAGUUCUGUCAAAUUUGAACUUGCCUGAUGCAUCACGGUUCCAAGUUCUGAUGAUCACAAAGGUUUUUCAGUCAUCAACAAUGAAGGCUCAUUUUGCAGAAAAUGCUGUCUGAAUUUGAUUUGUUCCUACGAUUACUUCACAAUGAGUGCGAUUUGUACCAUUGCUGAGGUUUUAUUCAUUGGCACAAGACCAGAGAGACCCACCACAUUAACAUCAACAAGUAAAAAUUGGAGGAAGUGCUCGUGUUCUUUUCCUUUUCCUUUCUAACUGUGUUGCUAUUUUCUUUACCUGUUCAUUGAUUUCACGUGCAAUUGGAAUCUCUUCUUUAUUUGCA